ACCUCUGCUGUGAUGCUUCUGUGUCAUGGUAGAACUGCAUAAGCAGGUGAAACUUCUUAGAGGGACUGGCGCUCAAAAAGGCGCACGAGAAAGAGCAAUAACAGGUCUGUGAUGCCCUAAGAUGUCCGGGGCCGCACGCGUGCUACAAUGACGAUGCUAGUGAGCAUGAUUAACUUGCCCGAAAGGGUAGGUAAAACUGUUCAAUCAUCGUCGUGACUGGGAUUGGGGUUUGCAAUUAUCCCCCAUGAACCAGGAAUUCCUAGUAAGCACAAGUCAUAAGCUUGUGCUGAUUACGUCCCUGCCCUUUGUACACACCGCCCGUCGCUACUACCGAUUGAAUGGCUUAGCAAGGUCAUUGGAUUGAGUUCUUGCGGUUAACCCUGCUUGGAUUCGAGAAGAUGCCCGAACUUGGUCAUUUAGAGGAAGUAAAAGUCGUAACAAGGUUUCCGUAGGUGAACCUGCGGAAGGAUCAUUAUCAAAUUCCCAAACCAAAGCCACUGGCCUCCAGUGGUCGCGCUUUAUGCGGUUUAUUCUGCUCGGCGCAUUGUGAUACAGAAGUGGUUGGAGCGGUCUAGGCGGUAAUCAUGUAUCGCUUAGUGCUGGCUCCUUCUCACCACCAACCUCCUCAGUCCGGUGGCUUGUUGGCAUGCACAGUUGUGGCAGCGUUGUGUAUGUCGGCUUGUUGCUAUCAUUCAUUCUUUGGACUGGGCCCUGGUUGGCGUUGCCACCCCCUCUCCUUCGAGGAGUUCCUGUCUCAGUACUCAUU
rnacentral:rRNA from 1 species